ensembl:lncRNA
CCUCGGUUUCCUUCUUGGUAUUAAGAUGGCAACAUCUACCUCAUAUGAUUGCGGUACAGUUAUAGCUAAGAUAAUUCAUAUAAAAUACUUCUGGAAAGGUCUCCUAAGGCAUUUCAUAGAUGCUGCUAAUGUGUACAUGAAACUCCAAUACUGUCUGGUAUGUUUGGAAGAUUACAGGAGCUGAGAGCACUGUAAGCAUAUAUGACAUGCAGCAGGCACUGUGUGAAGCUCCCUAGCUCCCAGCCUCCCUCCUCCCUCCUUGAGGCACCCAAUGUAGACAGAGGACACUGGGCCAGUUAUGAGAACUUCAUACCAUGGGACCUUUAAUUAGAACAGAGACUUGUUUCAUACAGGCUGAAACCCGGAAACCCCGGGAAGGUUAUGCUUAGCUGUGGAAACCAGAAAUCAAGUAAGCCAUGGCCACUGUGUCGCUGGGCAGAGAACAAGGUCCUAGGAUGCUGGAGGACACAGCAGUUCCUUUCUUUCUGAUGUGGAUGCUUCAGGCAGAGACUGGCUCAUCAGGCUGAGCUGGGCUGGUGAUGGGUCCUCUGGCUUGGGAAUUUCCAAAUGGUAGUACCAGUCCUAUCUAUAGAGAAAUGGCCUUGAGGUACACUAAGACCUGGGCCAGUGUGGUGGAUUCUGCUAGCUCCCAGGCCAAUUACCACUUGAGGGAACAGCUAAGAGAGAGGGGGGAGAAGAGAUACAGUGCAGAAAAAGUCUUCACAGCAUAGGCCCCUGAAGAAAGAGUUACCAAGGGAGUGUAGGGAGGGCACAGAGUCAGGCCGAUCUGAGUUUAAGGGAGUUUGAGCAUGAUGGUUCCCUUCUAGGCCUCAGUUUUCCCAUCUGAAAUGUGGUCAUAGUACCUAUAUCACUGGCUUAUUGGAAUGACUGUACAAAAUAUAGCCUAAUCAUAAACAGUAGUAGUCAAAUCCAGGGCCGGACAAGGCCAGGUUGGUCUUUCCCGUGACGACUCAGGAUCAGUGAGCUUGGAGAUAUUUUCAGGGUAACUACAGAAGACAUUAACCCGGGCUACAAAGAGUUUUCAAAAUGCACGGCACCUCGAAGUCUUCCAGAUCUGACUGCAAGACACAGCUCUUGUAUCCUCUCUCAGCAAAUGAUGUCCAUGUCCUACCUUUUUGAUUCUUUCAUUACCGGACGCUCUUCAACCUACAGCAGAAGACACUAUCCAACAGUACGGAGUCUACAGCGGCAGAGGGAAAGUCCCCCAUCCCACUCGGCCCACAACAUUUAGCCUAAGCCCCACUUUAUAGAUGUUAAGACUGAGGCCCGAGACCCAAUCCAUUUCAUCCCCACAGCCACAUAGGCAAGAAAGUCACAAAGGAAUGUCAUUUCAGUCUCAGGUUCAGCUCAUUACAAGGUGAGGCAUAGCUUCUCUUGGCUGGAGAAGCAGAGUUACAAUUUUCGUUCUUUUUUUUUUUCUUUCAAGGAGUGGUGACUUUUUAAUAGAAGUUGGUUCGUGCACAGGCAUUUGAUUCUUCAAUUAAUUUCCAUCUAAAUGAGGUUUUCUUGGAGAUAACCAGUGUUUUAGUUCCAUUUGGGCUUAAUUUGUAUGACGGAAGCCUCUGUUUCUGCCAAUUCCAAUUUAUUCGGUGAUUCUAGCACUCAUUACCUGGGUGAUAAUGCCCUGCUGCUGACAGCUGCAUCGGAUCUGAGAGAUGGACUGAUUUCCAAUAGCAAUUCAGGGGAGGAAGUGGUCCCUUCUCCUUUCCCAAUACCACUCAAUAAAUAGGAAAUAAAUUAUUAAAUAAGCCAUGUUUUGAUGAGGGUUCCCCAUCAUGGUAUUUACAAUGCAAAGCAACAACUACCAAAAAACAAAAACAAGAACAAAACAAAACUAAAAAUAAAUAAAUAAACCAAACAUACAAAUGAACAAAACAUGCCACAGACAGAGAGAAGCAGACUACCAUGUAAUUCAUUGGUUCAUUUGGUGUAGAAAUAAGAAAGGAUAAGUUUCAAUUAAAAAAAUGCUCAGUGACUUUCUAUCUGGCUUAAGUUUUUCAGCUGGAUUAAGUUAGCCAGUUGGGGAGGGGGCAUGCUUGAAGGAAUUCUGUUUUUGAUGUUGUUUAAUCAGAUCAAAAUUUCUAUUCAAUUGGAGGGGGAAGGAAAGCAAGAUGUGCACACAUGAGACUAUUUCUGAAUAUUUGUGGGGAACAAGAAGUGGAAAGAAUACAGCAGAAGGAAAGAUGGAAAUUGGGCUUGAGAAGGAGGAAAAAUGCUUUGUGAAAACUUUGGCAGAAUCCUAAAUUUUGACCUCUUCAAGCAAAACAUUUAGGGAAAGAGCACGUGAUCUGAGCAAAUGAAGUAAUGGAGGCACUCGAAAGCUAAGACCCUUCUGUCUUCCCAACAUCUUCAUUUUAUUCUGCUUCUGAAAUACUGAGUUUCCUUCAAAGAAGGAAACAAAUAGAGACAGGAAUGUGCUCAAACUUCAUUGAACUGGAAUGGUUCUAUGCUGAGGGCUUUAAAGUUAAUUAGCUUUUUCUAAUUAACUGAAGGGGAUUCACAUCUUGCUUUUAGUUUUUAUUCUCAUGAUUGAAAACCUCCUAAAAAAUCUCUGAAGCUCUUUUCUUUUUUCCUCUGAGUCUCCAUGAAACGUACUGUCUUUGGUGGGUCUUCCAGGCCUCAGGUCAAUAUUUGGGAUUACUUCUCAAAAACUUCCACCCUUCAAAGAUGUGGGAACUUCGGCCCAGGGAAAGGGAUCAAUUUGUCCACUUUCACUCAUUUACUGCACACCCAUGGCAAGAAGGUCAAAGGGCUUGGUUGAUAUGUUGUUUGAUCUUAACCUGCAUCCUCUCCCAUCUUGGAUGCUGGUUUUUGAGCCAAGUCCUUCUAGUGGUUUGUCUUAUUUGCUGGGAGCAAAAGAUAGUGAGAGUGAAGUGGGUAUCAUAAUAGCAAUACUAGGGAAUGAUGAUUUUAGCUAACUAAAGUUAGCUCAACUAAAGUUACUCAUCAAAAAUUGUAUUUUUGGAUGAAAUAAAAAGAAGUAUAAAAGAAAUCAGAGAAAUAUAUCAGGGGGUGGGGAGAGAAUGUCCCCCUGGGAGGCAUCUAAGCAACUUCUUGCAAACUUUCCCCGGGAUACGGGUGCUCCCUUGCUUGAGUUAAGGCAGGUAGCCACAUUGGCAGGAAAACAACCAGGAUGUCUGUCGCAAAAGUUUCACCAAAUUCAAAGCUGGGCCAGAAAAGCUGACAGUUGCAAGGCUGUGUUUGGUGACUUUGGAAAGGGCAAGAACCCUUGCCAGCCAGAAGCCAGAAGAUAUUGCAGGUUGUCAGAGAGCCUGGAUUGAUAAAGCUUUGCGGAUCCUAGUUCCCCAGGAUGGGCUCAGAAAGGACUUUCUUGGGGAGAUAGCUACAUGUUCCAUUUUAUUUUCUUUCCUAACUUCAUCCCAGGUGCCUCCCAAAAGGACUUUCAUAAGAGCCCUCAAUUUUGUACUGCUUUAUCUUAAAUGCUAAUUUUAGACUCCAGCCCCCAAUGUAAGCUGUAACCCUAUUACGUCGGUUCAGUGCCUCAGCUCCUGAGCUCUUUCCCUGCUGAUACCUCAGUGAGAUAGCUGGUGGGCAGGGCCUGGGGCACGGGGCCUGAAUCUCUCAACACUACGCUGAGUAAUAAACCUGGGGACUCAUGUGCUUCUGGGCCAACUCUAGAGUGUUCCAGACUUAAAAUGUUCCAGAAAAUAACAGCAUCCCCAUUCACAUUUGGCCUCUCAAAUCAUAUCCAUAGAGACGUAAGAAAAAAAAAGAAAUGCAUAAAAAUAAUUUACAAGUUCUCCCACCUCCCCAAACACACACAUACACACAAAAAUUCCUUUCCAUAUAAAUAAAUGAAUAAAUAAAUAAAUACUGCUAAUGGUGAAAGAAAGCUAUCAUCACAUAAAUAAAUAAAUAAACAAAUAGAUAAAUAAAUAAAAUAAAUAAAAAUUUUGCUGGGAGCCUUAGGCAAAAUGGUCCCCUGGAGUCCUCUGAACAAAGACAGUCUGCAUGGAAGGCUCCUAUGCCACUCGCAGGCAGCCAACCUGCUCAGGAUGUUUGGUGGUUUUAGGAAGCCUCUGUCUCCAGGAAGAGAGACUGGAGUCCAGUCUGGGCUCCUGGGUGGGGAAGAGGGUUAUUUACAGUUGCUGUACAUGUCCUCCCAGGGCACCUGUCCCUGUCUCAGGCACCUGGCAUCCGGCCUUCUGCAGUGACAGCACUGGCAUCCACGAGUCCUGGUGGACAGGCUUUGGUCUGGGCCAGAUGCCAUCGUGGGAAGGCCUGGUUAUCCACUGCAGCCCGGGGACACUUGCUCCUUUCUUGUGCUGGAGGAAGGACUUUCAGAGUGGUUGCUGCCCCUGGCGGGUUGUUGCGCACCCCCUCCCUCCCGGGGGGAGGCUGAUAGGAUGGGAAAGAUCAGGUGAGGAGAAAUUACUGUUUCCAAGAAAAAAGGGUUUUCCAAGUGUUUUCCUUGGGGGUGGGAAGGCUGAAGCUUUGCUUUUUGCUUUCCCACAGCCCCAGUACCCAAAGCUGAAGCUGGGAAUUGUCCUCCUUCCUCUCUCCCUCCAUGCCCUGUCCUGCUGCUACUGCCACCACAAACUUGAGACUCACAAGGCUCUGGAAAGCCAUGCAGCUGGUGAGGGGGUUGCCCCGGGGUUUAUUUUAGGGAGCUUCUCCCUGGCCUGUGUGUUCUCAGUGCCUCCUGCGGAUGAAGCAGCUGGUGGUAUUUGUGUGUCAGAGGGCAGCUUGCCCUUGCUGCCUAGCCCUAGGCAGAGGGAAGGUGGGUCAGACAGGGCUUUCCCAAGCUGACGAAAAAUGUCUGAAACUAGCAAAAGCCCCAGAUAUGGAGUACUCGAGCCCCUCACCUGCAGACUCUCUGAAUUUGAGUCUGUGCCCCAUCCUGGCAAAAAUCCUGAGGCAAGGAAGGUGGUUUAGGCUGAAGGGUGGGAGAGGAGGUGCCAGGCCACCCUGGGGUGUGGC